rnacentral:rRNA from 1 species
CGGGGUGCCCAGGCGCGAAAACUUUGCAAUACACGAAAGUGUGACAGGGCUAUCCCGAGUGCCAUCCGCUGAGGAAGGCUUUUACCCAGUCUAGAACGCUGGGGGAAUAAGGAGAGGGCAAGUCUGGUGUCAGCCGCCGCGGUAAUACCAGCUCUCCGAGUGGUGUGGAUGUUUAUUGGGCCUAAAGCAUCCGUAGCUGGCUAAGUUAGUCCCUUGUUAAAUCCACCGAAUUAAUCGUUGGAUUGCGGGGGAUACUGCUUGGCUAGGGGACGAGAGAGGCAGACGGUAUUUCCGGGGUAGGGGUGAAAUCCUAUAAUCCCGGGAAGACCACCAGUGGCGAAGGCUGUCUGCUAGAACGCGCCCGACGGUGAGGGAUGAAAGCUGGGGGAGCGAACCGGAUUAGAUACCCGGGUAGUCCCAGCUGUAAACGAUGCAGGCUAGGUGUUUGGACGGCCACGUGCCGUUCUAGUGCCGCAGGGAAGCUGUUAAGCCUGCCGCCUGGGGAGUACGAUCGCAAGAUUGAAACUUAAAGGAAUUGGCGGGGGAGCA